rnacentral:lncRNA from 1 species
UGCUUAUUUUAAGACACUAAGCUUGUCCUUGGGAAACCAUCAGUUUAUGUUGGCGAAGUGGUUUCCCCUCCGACGCCAACCUAUAUCUAGAUCAACUCAACGAGAUCUGCAAUAUUUAUUAUAGACAUAUGCAUCGACAACCACCUUUUUAAAGUUUUUAUAAAUAGAAAGGAAGAGGGGGUUGGAGAUCUCAAGUGUGGU